rfam:Schistosoma mansoni strain Puerto Rico chromosome 7, complete genome
AGCCUUCUGUAUCCGUGCUCAGAUUUUGUCACACAUCAAACCACAAAGGCUGAUGAGACUCCCAAGAAAAGUGAAGCG